AAAAAAAAAAAAAAAAAACAACAAAGAAAGGCCCCAGGCUAUGGCAGGGUGGACCCAAGACUGUUACUUGCUGUAUGUGGACACCUAAAGGCCCCCAGAACCAUCCAUCCUCAUCAUAGAAACUGGACGUUCUGAUCUUACACGAUUGUUUCAGCCCCCUCCCCACACAUGCCGACUGCCCUCAGUGUCUGCUUCCUUAAGCCUGCUUCCAUUUUAGCUAUUAGCGAGGGUUUUGCAUCUCGUUGCCUGCCAGCAUAUUAUGUGCAUCUCAUUAACUCUGAAGGCUCCACUACCCUUUAGGGACCAGACCUUCACAGACGUAAUGGCCUUCUGCCUGAGGUUUGAGUUUGCUGUUACUCUUUCUACCUUGGCUGAGGAAUGUCAGCCCAUGGAUUUCUAAUAAGUUCACAAAUUGCUCUAUGAAAUUGAGGUGAGAAAAAUGUCACAUUCUUUUUUUUUUUAAUUUUUAAAAAUCAAAUCUGGCUUGGAGCCCCCACUUAACCAUUCUCAGCAGAAGUCCGACUCCAGUCAUUGUGAUUUACUCACAGGCAGGGGAUGGGGGUUUUGGUGAGAGGCUUCCCCUCCUUCAGGUUGCACCAACACCCUGCUGCUGAAGCAGGUCAGGAGAGCGGGGUGAGCACUACGUCAUCAGGGCAUCCUGAUCACUCUUUCCCCGGGCUCCUUCUGCGACACAGUGAAGACUCUAAACACUGUCUGGUGCUGUCGUCAGGCCCUGCCCUCCACAGGCAGAGUCUUUUCUAGUGUGCCCAGGCUUUGUUCCGGGGACCUCCAGGCCUCAGUGUCCAUCCACCACAGGCAUCCCUCACAGUUGCCUGACACGAGGUCCUGCCCUCUGUGGGCACUGUGAGCUGGAUGUCGUGGAGCUACCGUGCAUGCUACAGCCCUUGUCUCUUCUCAGCUUUGGGGGACCCAACACUCCAGGUUGGGCAGUUCUCUCCUCUUUCCUCCUGACCCCAGAGUCUCUUUCCUUUCUGCCACUGGGAGAGCAAACCCUCCUUCCCUGGGCCUAGACCUUUCAAAACAAUAGGCUGCUGGAGGGAUUAUCUGAGUGAAGAUAAGUUUUCUCUCUCUCCUCCCCUCCCUUCUUCUCCCCUUUCUUUUCUUUUGCCCUGAAACAAGAAGCUUGUUAACCAGACUUCUGAGGAUAAAGAGAGCCUGGACUCAAGAGCAAUCCCCAGGUAACCCUAUAGGGUGGCAGUGGGAAUCUUUUAUCCUAAUUUUGGGUGGGGGGUUGGCAUCAAUUACUUUCUCAAUAACACCUGUUGUGGAUUCAUAGAAAUGGAUAGAACCUGAGAGAGCUUCCGUCCCAACCAUCUCAUUUUUCAAAGGAGCCAGAGGAGCAAAGGGAGGAGGCCCAAGAGGAGAGUGGGGAUGCCUAGUUCAUGUCUGAGCCAGGACCAGCAUCCAGGUCUCGACUGCCACUCCCAGGAUCCUGCAUUUGGGAGCCCCCAGGAAUAUAGUAGGAUUGCAUUUCUGAGCCUGUAUUAGUCCGUUUUUACACAGCUGAUAAAGACAUACCCAAGACUGAGUAGUUUAUAAGGAAAAAGGGGUUUAAUGGACUCACAGUUCCGCAUGGCUUGGGAGACCUCACAAUCAUGGUGGAAGGCAAAAGGCUUGUCUUAGAUGGCAGCAGAGCUCAGUGCCCCCUCUGUCACAAUGGCCAGCAAUGUUCCAGAUAGUGACCACUCACUCAGCUAGGGUUCCAGAGGGAGGAAGAUGCAGAGCAGAGCCCCAGCUGACCUGCAGUGGACAUAUGAGGCUGGAUGUCGGGCAGCUGAAGGGUGAUCAGUCUUCUGCUGGAAUUAAAGCCUGCUGUGAUGUUAAUGAAGAACCGCCAGUGGGUUUGCUGGAAGGGGGAAAUUUGGAGACAGACACAUACACAGGGAGAUGCCGUGUGAAGACUUGAGUUCUGCUGCCACAAGCCUAGGAACCAUUAGAAGCCAGGGAAGAGGCCUGGAACAGCUCCUUCCCCAGCACCUUCAGAGGGAGCAAGCCUCUACCAACAACCUGAUUUUGAACUCCUCGCCUCCAGAACUGUGAGACAAUAUAUUUCUGUUGUUUUAAGCCACCCAGCAUGUGGUACUUGGUUACAGCAGCCCUGGCAAACAAAUACAGGUUUGUAGGACUGUAUCUUUAGAGAUGAAAAGGAGAACCUCAAGCGGAAGGAAGAGCAUGAGCUUACUGGGGUAAGAAUAUGUAUUUAUAUAUUGAGUGCAUUCAGCAGUUCGGUUCUACUGGAACCACGGUCUGUAAAGGAGCCAUGUAUGGGAAGGUUAUUGUGGCCAAGUAACAGAGGCUUUGAAUGCUGGAAAAGACAUCUAAAUUUUGGAGCCAGGCACGGUGGCUCACGCAUGUAAUCCCAGCACUUUGAGAGACCGAAGCAGGUAGAUCACGAGGUCAAGAGAUAGAGAGUAUCCUGGCCAACAUGGUGAAACCCCUUCUCUACUAAGAAUACAAAAACUAGCUGGGCGUGGUGGCAUGCACCUGUAGUCCCAGCUACUUGGGAGGCUGAGGCAGGAGAAUCGCUUGAGCCUGGGAGGUGGAGGUUGCAGUGAGCCGAGAUUGCAGCACUGCACUCCAGCCUGGUGACAGAGCAAGACUCCAUCUAAAAAAAAAAAAAGACAUCUACAUUUUUAUCUGGCAGAGUUUGCUUCUUUUGUGUUAAUAUUUACUUCUAUCUAUCUUGGCCUAAAAUGAUUUGAGGUGGCUGACCUUAGCAUGUAGAUCAUGGGGAACCAGGUUGUGUGCCAGGAAGUGACUUGAUCGGCACCUGCACAGGAAGAUGAUCUCGGAUGCAACUCCUUGGAGAAACAGAGUCAAGCAGCAGCCCAGGUGAGAAGCUUGGCCAUCAUCUGAAAACUAUGCAAAGCAGGUCUGAACUAGGAAAAGGGCAGAAGGUCAGAGAAGAGGGGAUAAAGACAAGAGGUGAAAUGAUAGGUUGACCUGGCAAAUGCUUGCAUGACACAGGAAGAGAGAGAAAGGAAUUGAAUGGAACGUGGUCAACAUUUGAGCCUGGUGACUGUGAGGACAGUGGUGCCAUUUGCAGAUUUAGGAGGAAGCAUCACGUUGGGGAGGUGGAGGAGUUGGUUUUGUGCACAUUGACUCUGAGGUGGUGGAGGGGUCCAGCAGGCAGUUGGACUUAUGAGAAAAUGCACCAUUAUUCAUCCAAACAAGAUAAUUGAAUUUUUGAAGGCAGCUAAAAAAUAAUGGUUCUACGCUACAAGAAAUGAAGUGAAAUGGUAAAACAACAACAACGACAAAAAAACAUACACACACACACACAAAAAGCAAAAAACAAAAUAACCCACCCAAUUAAUCCAUUUGGAGGUUGUUCUCAUCUAGUGAAAUGUGUGUGUGUGUGUGUGGGUGUGUGUGCACUUCAGUACUGUUAACAAAGAAAAGGUCUGGUCAGUGGCAAAAACUACUUGAAUGCUGCUUUCAGCAAAGUCAUCCCUCUCUUCAGAAGGAUGAAGUACUCUUGUUUGUCAAGGAAGGUCCCUCUCAACUAGAAAAACAGCUGCAGGAACUCCAACCCAAGGUCCCCACAGCCCACAGGGGUGAUCUCUUGCUUUGCUCUCCUGGCUGUCUCAGGAAGCAGAAGUGGAAACAUUUGAGAUGACAGCAGCUCUGCUUUCUUUGUAGAGUUAAUUAGCUGGUGAAUACUGAGCUCUCCGACAGAGAGGAAGCUCGGGUUAUCAAAGUAUUAUUAAUUGAUGCAUCUGGAGAAAGAGAGAAGCAGCCCCAUCUGGACAGAGCUUGGAUUCUUUUAGCGCCAGAAUGGAAGAAAGCCCUUUUUAAAGUACAGUAAGAAAAGCCUGGUUCAGCUAAACAGUGAGGGGUAGUAGAAUCUAACUCGCACUCAACCCUACUUAACACCUUCCAUUCUUAAGUAUUUAUUAAGCCCGGUACAAGUGACAAAUACCACAUGUGAUCUGUUGUCACCAAAACUCAUUAAGACAAAUAAUAUUGAAUAAGAUCACACAGGAUGGCUUGCCAUCAGAACUACUUACUACUUCAGGCCGGGUGCCAUGGCUCAUGCCUGUAAUCCCAGCACUUUUGGUAGCUGAGGCAGGUGGGU
rnacentral:lncRNA from 1 species